rnacentral:rRNA from 1 species
UACGUAGGGUGCGAGCGUUGUCCGAAAUUAUUGGGCGUAAAGGGCUCGUAGGCGGUCUGUCGCGUCGGGAGUGAAAACUUACAGCUUAACUGUGAGCGUGCUUCCGAUACGGGCAGACUUGAGGUAUUCAGGGGAGAACGGAAUUCCUGGUGUAGCGGUGAAAUGCGCAGAUAUCAGGAGGAACACCGGUGGCGAAGGCGGGUCUCUGGGCCGAUACUGACGCUGAGGAGCGAAAGUGUGGGGAGCGAACAGG